CUGCGCGAAACCCCCCACCCCCAAAUGAAACUGCGUCUACCCUAACCCACAAUCCCAAAUCCACAAUCCUUACCCUAACCUUCAGUACUCAUCGCUCCCUCUUCUCCAAAUCUCCACACCUGCCGGCUGCCGACCUGCGCACCCAGCCACCCACCACCGCGAAGCCUUUGGCCCGUCGCACAUCAGGCCAACACGAAGCCACGCCGUCGCACAUCAGGUCAAGACGAAGCCACCACCGACCGACUCGACACGGCAGCACAGCACCAUGCCGCCGCCGUUGAGACCCCACCACCCUAACCCAUCAGUUCAACCCAGCACGGCAGCACCUCCCAGUCUCCCACUCAGCCUUCCUCCCAAGUCAAUAUGGAGCCCGAGCCACCGAUUCAGGGUAUGUAUGUAUAAGCAAGUUGCUCAGAUGGCUGAACUGAAGAAGAUUUUGUAUGGGAAGUUCAAGGACUCAAUCAAUCUGGAGAGGAGACACUAUAAUUUGGCUAUCUUUUAAUGGAAAUUUAUUUAUAUUUUUAAUUGUGUUGACUAUUGAACUUUUAAACUUCUUUAAUUUUUGUAUUUGAAUUCCUUUUGUCCUUAAAUUUCAUUAGACCAAGACGUUGUUAGCUAUUUUGUAUUUGUAUUUGUCAAUUUCAAUGUUAUGAUUUUGUGAAAUAGUAUGUUAGUAUUUUUUUUU